rnacentral:rRNA from 1 species
AUUGAACGCUGGCGGCAUGCCUUACACAUGCAAGUCGAACGGUAACAGGUCUUCGGAUGCUGACGAGUGGCGAACGGGUGAGUAAUACAUCGGAACGUGCCUAGUAGUGGGGGAUAACUACUCGAAAGAGGGGCUAAUACCGCACGAGAUCUUGGGAUGAAAGCGGGGGAUCGACAGACCUGUGGUGCUUUGACGGGCGGAUGGCGGAUAGGGUAGUUGGUGGGGUAAAAGCUUACCAAGCCGACGGUCUGUAGCUGGUCUGAGGGGACGAUCGGCCACACUGGGACUGAGACACGGCCCAGACUCCUACGGGAGGCAGCAGUGGGGAAUUUUGGACAAUGGGCGCAAGCCUGAUCCAGCAAUGCCGCGUGCAGGAUGAAGGCCUUCGGGUUGUAAACUGCUUUUGUACGGAACGAAAAGCCCUGGGUUAAUACCCUGGGGUCAUGACGGUACCGUAAGAAUAAGCACCGGCUAACUACGUGCCAGCCGCCGCCGUAACAC